UCAAUUUUCAAAAUUUCAACUUACUUCUGAUCUUAUAUAACUGCAACUGUUAGAGCACAAUACUCUCAGAGGAAUUGAAGGUAAUGAAGAUAUUUCUAGAAAUAAUCAUUAAAAUAGUUUAUGCCACAAGAAAAUAUUUCCUCCAUAGAGAAAAUGCAACUUAA
rnacentral:lncRNA from 1 species